rnacentral:lncRNA from 1 species
CGCGGACCCGGCCGUGGGCACCGGCGUGGGCAGGGCGGCCGGGGGACUCCGGCCCCGCCGCCUGGCACAGCCUGUUAGUGGCCUUGCACACUCGUGUGCUCGUGGCUGCCCCAAGGGGCUCGGGAGGGCGGAGCCAAAGCCCCAGAAAAGGACUGUGGGGAGUCUGAACUUUGACCCUGGGUCCGGGGCUACCGGUGCGCACCGGGACCUGGGCAGCGGUCCGGCCUGGGCCGCGGCUUCCCUCGCUCUCAGCCAGCUUACUUUUGCUGGGCUGCCUCCCCUGCCUCGUGGAUGCCGAACUGGCCUUGGGGACACAGCCUCUGCGAGGCCCCUGAGAGUCGCAGGUGCCUUCCUCCGGUUCUGUCCGGCAGCGAGCCGAUGAAGGACAGGGAGCCCCGUGCCUGGCAAGGCAGACCACAGCGCUCUCCCUGCUUGUCCAUGCAAGGGACAGCAAGCAAGCGACAAGCCCGGUCCAAAUGCUUCCCUGGACACACACACACCUGCAGGCCCGGUCCUGAUUCCAGUUGAGACCGAGUGGAGGCUCACUGAGUUAGAGCUGCAGUUUCUCACGAUGUGAAAUGGGAACGAUUACUGUAUUGGUGUCAGGUUUGGUUUUGUUUUUAAUCCCAAGUCAGGCCUUGGUAAAGAUCAGAAGAGCUAAAAUGCGAAGACCAGAGUGACUGGUAAGGAGCUGGGCACGCCAGGUACUU